AUUGAACGCUGGCGGCGGGCCUAACACAUGCCAGUCGAGCGGAUGAAGGGAGCUUGCUCCUGGAUUCAGCGGCGGACUGGUGAGUAAUGCCUAGGAAUCUGCCUGGUAGUGGGUGAUAACGUCCGGAAACGGGCGCUAAUACCGCAUACGUCCUGAGGGAGAAAGUGGGGGAUCUUCGGACCUCCCGCUAUCAGAUGAGCCUAGGUCGGAUUAGCUAGUUGGUGGGGUAAAGGCCUACCAAGGCGACGAUCCGUAACUGGUCUGAGAGGAUGAUCAGUCACACUGGAACUGAGACACGGUCCAGACUCCUACGGGAGGCAGCAGUGGGGAAUAUUGGACAAUGGGCGAAAGCCUGAUCCAGCCAUGCCGCGUGUGUGAAGAAGGUCUUCGGAUUGUAAAGCACUUUAAGUUGGGAGGAAGGGCAGUAAGUUAAUACCUUGCUGUUUUGACGUUACCAACAGAAUAAGCACCGGCUAACUUCGUG
rnacentral:rRNA from 1 species